CCUGCAAGCCGUUCUAUCGCUCAGUCCCCGUAAAUGCGGGAUGGAGAGGAAAGUCCGGGCAACACAGAGCAUCCUGCUUCCUAACGGGAAGGCGCCGGUUAUACGGUGACGGAAAGUGCCACAGAAAAUAUACCGCCUGCUUCGGCAUGGUAAGGGUGAAAUUGUGAGGUAAGAGCUCACAGCUUUUCCGGGCGACCGGGAUUGCGGUAAACCCCAGGAGUUGAAAGACCAAAUAAAUCCCGAACCUGGAAUGGCUCGUUCCAACGCGGUUCUGCUGCUUUCGGGAAGGGUAGGUCGUUAGAGCCGGUUAGUGAUGGCCGGCCCAGAUAAAUGAUAGAAAUCCGGCUCAGGCCGGAUACAGAACCCGGCUUACAGGCUUGCUUUUUUU
rnacentral:RNase_P_RNA from 1 species